AAAUAAUGACGAAUAAGCAGAUCAAGACUUGCUUGUAAAUUCCUGUUUUGAUGCUUCCAUUUGAGGUCAUUUUUAAGUUAGAAAAGGCUUGGGGUGAGGUGGAAAGAGAGAGAAAGAGAACAGAGUGGCAGAGCAGGAAACUAGAAUGAGACAGAAAAUAAGCAAAGUCAGUGGUUCUUAGGCUUCCAGCCCACCAGAGGAAUUUUCCGGUAGGUGUUUGACACACAUGCAGAGCACAAAUGUCAAACUUCUAGGAAUUUUGAAAUUCAAAUGUCAAGAGUUUAAGAAAUUUUAAUAACAUUUCAAAAAUACCUGAGAAAUUAGAACAUAUAGCAGAACACUAUAUACUCAGCAUUUACCUGCAGUGGAUUUGAUAAUUUAAGAACUAUUAACAUUUUACCAUAUUGACCCGAAAAAAGGCUCAUAUGUAUAUACAGUUCCUUUUCCUCAAAAAAGGGCCAUGGCCCCGGGAAAAUUGUUUUGAUUUCAACCUCCACUACCUGACUCGUUUUUAGAGGCCCUCCUAAAAUCCUAUGGGUCUGCCAGAGUCAAGGAUCGUAAAUAGGUUUUACCUAACUUGUCAACUCUGAUCAGCUGGCCGGAAGAUUCACCCUUGAAUCCAGGCACAGAGAGAGUGCGGCGCAGGAGAGGGAGUUGGGGAAACUGAGAACUGUCCCUCCUCACAGCUCCACCUCACUAUAUCGGCUCUCUGUGCACUGUGGGACGUGCCAGUGUUCAGUCCAGCAGCAAGAAAAGCUUCCCUCCCUGCGGCUGUAAGAGACUGCAUCAUUGUAAUGCUGUGUUCGCAUCACUAAAAACGUUGAGCUGCACUACAUUCUGGGAGACCCCCGUAAUUCGUGCCUUAAAAAAAUGAGUUGUCCUUCUCUGGUUGGACUCCCUCUGCAGAAAAUUCUACCUCUAACCACUGGCCUGAUUUCCAUGUAGUUCCUCCCUGGAAAGUGUGCAGAAGUCCCCAUGGGAAGCAAUCUUUCUUCAGUUCUGAGCAUGGAGGAGAUAUGAAAUUAGCCAGGAAUGUUGUGUAUGACAGUAAAGAACAUGAAUAAGUGGUUCCCGAACCUGGACAGAAAGAAAUGGUGCCUACAUAGUAUGAAAAAUCUUCACAUGCACUGAUAGGAUCAUAAACAAAUAGGUAAGUACAUCUUUUCUCAUUAUUGGUUCUAAAUCUUGGUGGAUAAAUCACAAUACCUCACAUGGGUCCAUGAGUUGUAUAAUAUGUUUUUCAUAUAAUUAUUUAUAUAAACGAGGGCCCAGCAAAAAUAUUUUCAGAGUAACGUACACCCUAGGGGUUUCCCUGGAGAAAAGCAUUUGCUCAUAGAAAUAAGCCCCCUCUCCUCCCAUCUUACCUCUAUCAGUAACAGAGGUGCUAUUUUGGCCACUGUCUGCCACUCUUUUGUCUUACUCCUCAAUUUGUUUUGAAUAUGGGAAAGGUAAGGGGGGUGCUAUUUAUUCAAAAUUUCUCCAAGUUUCUAAUAGUAAGCAUCAAAGUUAUCAUCAUGUUUUAAGCAUUUGGGUUACAUUUUUUAAUACAUUGAGGUAUAAUUGACGUAUAACAUUACGUGUAUGUUAUAUGUGUAACUACAUGUUGUGUAGUUUCACCUACACAAUGUAAUGAUUUAGUAUUUGCAUAUAUUGCAAAAAUGAUCACCACAAUAAGUCUAGUUAACAUCCAUCAUCAUAUACAUACUUAAAAAUUUUUUUCCUUGUAAUAGGGAUUCCUAAGGUUUGCAAAUAUUUUCCCCCAUUCAGUGUGCUCUCUUUUCAUGUUGUUGAAAAUUUCCUUUGCUGUGCAGAGCAUUUGUGGUUUGAUACAGUCCCACUUGUUUAUUUUUGCUUUUGGAGUCAAAUAAAAAAAAAAA
rnacentral:lncRNA from 1 species